GAUGAACGCUGGCGGCGUGCCUAAUACAUGCAAGUCGAACGAAACUUCUUUAUCACCGAGUGCUUGCACUCACCGAUAAAGAGUUGAGUGGCGAACGGGUGAGUAACACGUGGGCAACCUGCCCAAAAGAGGGGGAUAACACUUGGAAACAGGUGCUAAUACCGCAUAACCAUAGUUACCGCAUGGUAACUAUGUAAAAGGUGGCUAUACUACCGCUUUUGGAUGGGCCCGCGGCGCAUUAGCUAGUUGGUAGGGUAAAGGCUUACCAAGGCAAUGAUGCGUAGCCGAAUUGAGAGGUUGAUCGGGCACAUUGGGACUGAGACACGGCCCAAACUCCUACGGGAGGCAGCAGUAGGGAAUCGUCCACAAUGGGCGAAAGCCUGAUGGAGCAACGCCGCGUGGGUGAAGAAAGUCUUCGGAUCGGAUGACCCUGUUGUUAUAGAAGAAAGCGCGUGAGAGUAACUGUUCACGUUUCGACGGUAUCUAACCAGAAAGCCACGGCUAACUACGUG
rnacentral:rRNA from 1 species